rnacentral:rRNA from 1 species
UACAGAGGUCUCAAGCGUUGUUCGGAUUCAUUGGGCGUAAAGGGUGCGUAGGUGGCGCGCUAAGUCAGGUGUGAAAUUUCGGAGCUUAACUCCGAAACUGCAUUUGAUACUGGCGUGCUUGAGGACUGGAGAGGAGACUGGAAUUCAUGGUGUAGCAGUGAAAUGCGCAGAUAUCAGGAGGAACACCGAUGGCGAAGGCAGGUCUCUGGGCCACUACUGACGCUGAGAAGCGAAAGCAUGGGGAGCGAACAGG